CUCCCCUCUCUUUUCUCCCCUUGCCUCUUGGCAGCAGUGCCAAAGUGGGCAGUCGGACCGAGGCAAACACAGCACAGGGCAGAGCAGAGGGCGAUCCAAAGGCUGGCGAAUUGAUUAUGUGUGUGUUUGUGUUUUGUGUUCUCCGUCUGUGGGUUUGUCUCCGUUUUGGGCACACCAAACUGCAAGUAACGGCUAUGUUAGAGCAGGCGUCCCUCUGUCACCCUGUGUACGGACAGACGCACUCACGCCAGUAGGAGGGGAUAGUGGGAAGGGGGUGUAGCUCACAGAGGGUGUGCUCUACUCCUCUCUUUUCCCUUCUUCCCGCCAUCACGGCCCUCUUCUCCUCCAGUCCUCCGGCCCAGCCCGGCGCUCACGUACAGGCUCCAGGAAAAUGACUUUUGGGGAUCUUUGAUGCGGAAGCAACGUGAAUGCUGUCCUUGGGGCUGAGGUAGUAGAUUGAAUAGUUGUGGGGUUUUGUAACCUCUUUUUGAGAUAACUAUACAAUCUACUGUCUUUCCCAAGGAGACAGCUGAGUCAGCCACUCACCGACUGUCAUCUCCAGAUGGGCAAUCCCGCUUCCAAUCAAAACUUGGAGUUGUCAACAUAUUGUGAAGCAUUGUUAUCUGUGUGCAGGUUAAUUAGCUUGGAUGUUCCCGAAUAGGACGUGGACGUGUUUGAUUCGGGCUCUUUCAGGGUGAGGUAGUAGGUUGUAUAGUUUGGUGGGUGGGACUGCACCCUGCUCAGGUGAUAACUAUACAGUCUAUUGCCUUCCCUGAGGAGUCACUGAACAUGAUUCCUCAACACACUCUCAUUUUUGUAUCGCAUUUAUUUGUAGAUAACAGGAAGAAAGAGCAAGUUAUAUGAGCAGAACAAAUGUACACAUGAAAUGAUUGAGGCUGUAAAAUGACUGAUAUUAUGUACAUCUGUAUAAAGUCUUACUUGAUUAAAAUGGGUUGUUCAAUAAUCAGUGAAUGUGAAAGUGUUUGUCAACUACUAUGAUGGUGUGAUAAUUUGUGUACAACAGCAGCUAGUGAGUGUGUUAGUCUACAGCAUCCUCUAGUGGAAACUAAUGAUAGCUUUGAUACAAAUAAAGUCAGCAGACAAGGAGCAGACACUGAUUGUAAUGGCAAGUAAGAGAAUGCAUUUUUUUCAAACAAACAAACAAACAAACAAACAAACAAACAAACAAACAAACACUCUCUGGCUGCCAGUAGUUUCCCAGUUGUUUAUGUGUAAUAAAGUCUCAAAUAUU